rnacentral:rRNA from 1 species
AACGAACGCUGGCGGCAGGCUUAACACAUGCAAGUCGAGCGCCCCGCAAGGGGAGCGGCAGACGGGUGAGUAACGCGUGGGAAUCUACCCAUCUCUACGGAAUAACGCAUGGAAACGUGUGCUAAUACCGUAUACGUCCUUCGGGAGAAAGAUUUAUCGGAGAUGGAUGAGCCCGCGUUGGAUUAGCUAGUUGGUGGGGUAAAGGCCUACCAAGGCGACGAUCCAUAGCUGGUCUGAGAGGAUGAUCAGCCACACUGGGACUGUGACACGGCCCAGACUCCAACGGGAGGCAGCAGUGGGGAAUAUUGGACAAUGGGCGCAAGCCUGAUCCAGCCAUGCCGCGUGAGUGAUGAAGGCCCUAGGGUUGUAAAGCUCUUUCACCGGUGAAGAUAAUGACGGUAACCGGAGAAGAAGCCCCGGCUAACUUCGUGCCAGCCGCCGCGGUAAGAC